UACGUAGGGUGCGAGCGUUGUCCGGAAUUAUUGGGCGUAAAGGGCUCGUAGGCGGUCUGUCGCGUCGGUAGUGAAAACUCAGGGCUUAACCCUGAGCCUGCUUCCGAUACGGGCAGACUAGAGGUAUGCAGGGGAGAAUGGAAUUCCUGGUGUAGCGGUGAAAUGCGCAGAUAUCAGGAGGAACACCGGUGGCGAAGGCGGUUCUCUGGGCAUUACCUGACGCUGAGGAGCGAAAGUGUGGGGAGCGGACAGG
rnacentral:rRNA from 1 species